AUUCUAGACAAGGGGCGCAAGCCCGAUCCAGCCACGCCGCUUGAGAGAAGAAGGCCUUAGGGGUGUACAGGUCUUACGGGGGGAAAGAAACCGAGCAGGGGAAUACCCUGGGGGGAUGACGGUGCCGUCAGAAGAACCACCGCAUAACUACGUGCCCGCGGCCUCGGUAAUACGUAGGGAGGGAGCGUUAAUCGGAAUUACUGGGCGUAAAGCGUGCGCAGGCGGUUGAUUAAGACAGGCGUGAAAUCCCCGGGCUUAACCUGGGAACUGCGCUUGUGACUGGUCAGCGAGAGUACGGCAGAGGGGGGUGGAAUUCCACGUGUAGCAGUGAAAUGCGUAGAGAUGUGGAGGAACACCGAUGGCGAAGGCAGCCCCCUGGGCCGAUACUGACGCUCAUGCACGAAAGCGUGGGUAGCAAACAGG
rnacentral:rRNA from 1 species